AAAACACAGUUCAUUGACUGUGUGUAAAAGAACACAAAACUGCUGUGAGAAUCAUUCCUUGCUGGUCUCAAGCACUCAAUGUGACUCAAUGUCGUGGUCUACUACUUUCUGCAUCUCAAGUCCAACGUACAUAGUGAGCUACUGGAUAACAGUGGGAAAGCUGUCCACAUGGAGGGGGAACCUGGAGCACCCGGAGGAAACCUCCAUGAACACUGGGAGAACAUGCAAACUCUACACAGAACUGCCAACUGACCCAACUGAGGCUCGAACCAGCAACCUUCUUGCUGUGAGGUGACUGUGCUACCCACUGCACAACCGCACUGCCCGACUGAAAUAAUCAAAUAUCUAAAUAUAUUCAGCUUUAUUUACAAACACAGUUUAAAUUUAACAAUUACUGGAAAUUGAAGUCAGAACAAAAAAAGAAACAAAUUGCAAAUAAAUUUAAAUAA